rnacentral:rRNA from 1 species
UGGGGAAUAUUGCACAAUGGGCGCAAGCCUGAUGCAGCCAUGCCGCGUGUGUGAAGAAGGCCUUCGGGUUGUAAAGCACUUUCAGCGAGGAGGAAGGUGGUGAGCUUAAUACGCUCAUCAAUUGACGUUACUCGCAGAAGAAGCACCGGCUAACUCCGUGCCAGCAGCCGCGGUAAUACGGAGGGUGCAAGCGUUAAUCGGAAUUACUGGGCGUAAAGCGCACGCAGGCGGUUUGUUAAGUCAGAUGUGAAAUCCCCGGGCUCAACCUGGGAACUGCAUUUGAAACUGGCAAGCUAGAGUCUCGUAGAGGGGGUAGAAUUCCAGGUGUAGCGGUGAAAUGCGUAGAGAUCUGGAGGAAUACCGGUGGCGAAGGCGGCCCCCUGGACGAAGACUGACGCUCAGGUGCGAAAAGCGUGGGGAGCAAAACAGGAUUAGAUACCCUGGUAGUCCACGCUGUAAAACGAUGUCGAUUUUGGAGGUUGUGCCCCUUGAGGCGUGGNUUCCGGAGCUAACGCGUUAAAUCGACCGCCUGGGGAGUACGGCCNCAAGGUUAAAACUUAAAUGAAUUGCGGGUCUAGCUGUUCC